rnacentral:lncRNA from 1 species
CAGUAAACCACGUUAGAAGAUGUUGAAUGUUCUUGGGAAAUGUUGCUCUUUCGAGAUCAAAAUUCCAGAAAAUUCGGGACAGUUUGGUUUCUUCUAACAGGUGCUGGCUCCUUUUUCUCGAAUUCACAGCUGUUUCUCCGAAUGCCAUUUAAAGGAGCUCCGGGGGUGUUUAAUAACGAAACCGAGCGCUCUCGAAAGCGCAGGACGGUGUUUGGCCCCGAGCUGGGAGCAGUGAGUGGCCCCGGACUCGCCAUGUCCAACACGUCCCAUCUGAGGGGUUUUGGCUCUCGUUCCUGUUUUGUUUCAUCAUUCCUGGAAUCGCUCCUGCCCGGGGAUCACCGCUCUCGCUUGCACUUCGUGCCCUCUGCUGGGAGAGAUGGAUCAAACCAGCCCGAAGGAAAACCACGCUUCGCUCCAGGCUUUGGGCAAAGGCAGGCAGGGGAGUAGGAAUAUUUAUUCUCUCAACUUCCCUGAGUGAGCCAUGAAAACUCUCCAGCUUCUCCCUCAAGGAUUUUUAGUGGGCAUGAGAACACUGAAAAAAGGCAUUUUCCUUGUAAACACCGUGGUUUGCUGGAAUUCACCCCAGAACAGAACCCCCACUCAAGUGAAGAGGUCACACAUAAGCAGAUACUUUACCAUAGUUUACAUUUUCAGAUGGAGGAAGAGGCAGAAGCACAGGAGAUUUUCCUCUGCCUGCUAAACAAAACCAGGGGACGUGAAUCCAGGUGGACACCGACCUCGGGGCUCCACUCAGGGCUGGUUUGGGGACCUCCAGGGCUUGGGGAACUCCAGGGUUCGCAGACCUUGAUCCCACCUGGCCCCAGUUCUGCUCCUGGUUACUUUUCUUAAAAUCCCCAGCACCUUUUAGACAUCAGAGCCAUAACCUGGUAGCUUUAUUCCUGUCUCCUUUCCUUAUGAUGGGCUGUUUGCCCUAAAUCCGAGGAAGAGGAGGAGGAGAAAAGAACAGGAGGAGGAUGAACAUGGGAUGCAAACCCCAUUUUUCCUCUGGGCUGGAAGGUGGGUUAUGCUUCAUACCAACCCUCUUGAGCCUGGGGCUAUUUUCUGCUCAAUUUUCAGUCUUGGGGCUCCAAACCUCACUGAUGAUCACCUACGUGAGAAAAUGCAGAUUUGCCUGUUCUGUGGCUGACCCAAGAUGCAGGAGAAGCUCAGCCCCAGGAGCACACAGGUGCUGCAGUGUGGAGAGGUGUUAUUCCAAGGGUGAGCUUUGCCCAAGGAGAUAAAUAAAAAAGAAUGAGGAAAAGCA